rnacentral:rRNA from 1 species
AGAGUUGAUCAUGGCUCAGGAUGAACGCUAGCUACAGGCUUAACACAUGCAAGUCGAGGGGCAGCAUUGAGAUAGCUUGCUAUUCAGAUGGCGACCGGCGCACGGGUGAGUAACGCGUAUCCAACCUUCCCGUUAAUAGGGGAUAGCCCGGUGAAAAUCGGAUUAAUACCUAUGUUGUUCGAAGCAGACAUCUAAUUGAACCAAAGGUUUACCGCUAAGGGAUGGGGAUGCGUCUGAUUAGGUAGUAGGCGGGGUAACGGCCCACCUAGCCGACGAUCAGUAGGGGUUCUGAGAGGAAGGUCCCCCACAUUGGAACUGAGACACGGUCCAAACUCCUACGGGAGGCAGCAGUGAGGAAUAUUGGUCAAUGGGCGCGAGCCUGAACCAGCCAAGUAGCGUGCAGGACGACGGCCCUAUGGGUUGUAAACUGCUUUUAUACAGGGAUAAAGUCACCUACGUGUAGGUGUUUGUAGGUACUGUAUGAAUAAGGACCGGCUAAUUCCGUGCCAGCCGCUGC